AGUGAACGCUGGCGGUAGGCCUAACACAUGCAAGUCGAACGGCAGCACAGUAAGAGCUUGCUCUUACGGGUGGCGAGUUGCGGACGGGUGAGGAAUACAUCGGAAUCUACUUUUUCGUGGGGGAUAACGUAGGGAAACUUACGCUAAUACCGCAUACGACCUACGGGUGAAAGCAGGGGAUCUUCGGACCUUGCGCGAUUGAAUGAGCCGAUGUCGGAUUAGCUAGUUGGCGGGGUAAAGGCCCACCAAGGCGACGAUCCGUAGCUGGUCUGAGAGGAUGAUCAGCCACACUGGAACUGAGACACGGUCCAGACUCCUACGGGAGGCAGCAGUGGGGAAUAUUGGACAAAGGGAGCAAGCCUGAUCCAGCCAUACCGCGUGGGUGAAGAAGGCCUUCGGGUUGUAAAGCCCUUUUGUUGGGAAAGAAAAGCAGAAGGUUAAUACCCCGCUGUUCUGACGGUACCCAAAGAAUAAGCACCGGCUAACUUCGUG
rnacentral:rRNA from 1 species